rnacentral:rRNA from 1 species
CCUCAGUAACGGCGAGUGAAGCGGCAACAGCUCAAAUUUGAAAUCUGGCCUCACGGUCCGAGUUGUAAUUUGUAGAGGAUGCUUUUGGCGAGGUGCUUUCCGAGUUCCCUGGAACGGGACGCCAUAGAGGGUGAGAGCCCCGUACGGUAAGACCACCGAGCCUCUGUAAAGCUCCUUCGACGAGUCGAGUAGUUUGGGAAUGCUGCUCUAAAUGGGAGGUGUACGUCUUCUAAAGCUAAAUACCGGCCAGAGACCGAUAGCGCACAAGUAGAGUGAUCGAAAGAUGAAAAGCACUUUGAAAAGAGGGUUAAAAAGUACGUGAAAUUGUUGAAAGGGAAGCAUUCAUGACCAGACUUGGGCUUGGUUGAACAUCCGGCGUUCUCGCCGGUGCACUCUGCCAGUCCAGGCCAGCAUCAGUUUGCCCCGGGGGACAAAGGCGGUGGGAAUGUGGCUCUCUUCGGGGAGUGUUAUAGCCCGCCGUGUAAUGCCCUGGGGCGGACUGAGGAACGCGCUUCGGCACGGAUGC